AUCGGUGGCAAUAGCCCCAGGGUCACACCCGUUCCCAUACCGAACACGUAGGUUAAGCCUGGGUACGCUGAUGGUACUGCCAUGGAAGCGUGGUGGAAGAGUAAGUCGUCGCCGGUA
rfam:Oxobacter pfennigii strain DSM 3222 OXPF_contig000037, whole genome shotgun sequence.